rnacentral:rRNA from 1 species
UACAGAGGGGGCUAGCGUUGUUCGGAAUCAUUGGGCGUAAAGGGCGUGUAGGCGGUUUGUUAAGUCAUGUGUGAAAUCCCUCGGCUCAACCGGGGAACGACGCAUGAAACUGGCAAGCUAGAGUACCAAAGAGGGGGGUGGAAUUCCCGGUGUAGCGGUGAAAUGCGUAGAUAUCGUUUGGAACGCCAAUGGUGAAAACAGAUUGCUGGGAGGGUGCUGACGCUGAGACACGAAAGCCAGGGGAGCGAACGGG